rnacentral:rRNA from 1 species
CUACGGGUGGCUGCAGUGAGGAAUUUUGCGCAAUGGGGGAAACCCUGACGCAGCAACGCCGCGUGAGUGAAGAAGGCUUUCGGGUCGUAAAGCUCUGUCAGAUAGGAAAAAAGUUCAUAUGUAAAUAGCUUAUGAAUCUGAUGGUACUAUCAGAGGAAGCACCGGCUAACUCCGUGCCAGCAGCCGCGGUAAUACGGAGGGUGCAAGCGUUGUUCGGAAUUAGUGGGCGUAAAGGGCGUGUAGGCGGUAUGGUAAGUCAGAUGUGAAAGCCCUGGGCUUAACUCAGGAAGUGCAUUUGAUACUGCCAUCCUGGAGUAUGGGAGAGGAGAGUAGAAUUCCCAGUGUAGAGGUGAAAUUCGUAGAUAUUGGGAGGAAUACCCGUGGCGAAGGCGACUCUCUGGACCAAUACUGACGCUGAGACGCGAAAGCGUGGGGAGCAAACAGGAUUAGAUACCCUCGUAGUC